AACGAACGCUGGCGGCGCGCCUAAUACAUGCAAGUCGAACGAGAAGGUCGUAGCAAUACACUUGUAAAGUGGCGAACGGGUGAGGAAUACAUGGGUGACCUACCCUCGAGUGGGGGAAUAACCCGAGCCGAAAGGUUGGCUAAUACCGCGUACGCGUUCCCAGGUCUACGGGUUGGGAAGGAAAGCGAUGCCGUGGGUAUCGCGCUCAAGGUUGGGCUCAUGUCCUAUCAGCUUGUUGGNGAGGUAACGGCUCACCAAGGCAACGACGGGUAGCUGGUCUGAGAGGACGAUCAGCCACACUGGCACUGCGACACGGGCCAGACUCCUACGGGAGGCAGCAGUGGGGAAUAUUGCGCAAUGGGCGAAAGCCUGACGCAGCGACG
rnacentral:rRNA from 1 species